UCCGGAGUAGCUCAGCGGUAGAGCAAUCGACUGUUAAUCGAUCGGUCGGGGGUUCGAAUCCCUCCUCCGGAGCCA
rnacentral:tRNA from 1 species